CCUACUGGAGGCAGCAGUAGGGAAUCUUCCACAAUGGGCGCAAGCCUGAUGGAGCAACACCGCGUGAGUGAAGAAGGGUUUCGGCUCGUAAAGCUCCGUUGUUGGAGAAGAACGUGCGGGAGAGUAACUGUUCACGCAGUGACGGUAUCCAACCAGAUAGUCUCGGCUCACUACGUGCCAGCAGCCGCGGUAAUACGUAGGUGGCAAGUGUUAUUCGGUUUUAUUGGGCGUAAGGGGAGCGCAGGCGGUUGCUUAGGUCUGAUGUGAAAGUCUUCGGCUUAACCGAGGAAGUGCAUCUGAAACCGGGCGACUUGAGUGCAGAAGAGGAAGGUGGAAC
rnacentral:rRNA from 1 species